UACGUAGGGUGCAAGCGUUGUCCGGAAUUAUUGGGCGUAAAGAGCCCGUAGGCGGUUUGUCACGUCGGAUGUGAAACCCUGAGGCUCAACCUCAGGCCUGCAUUCGAUACGGGCAGACUAGAAUUCGGCAGGGGAGACUGGAAUUCCUGGUGUAGCGGUGAAAUGCGCAGAUAUCGGGAGGAACACCAGUGGCGAAGGCGACUUCCUGGCCUGUUCUUGACGCUGAGGCGCGAAAGCUAGGGGAGCAAACGGGG
rnacentral:rRNA from 1 species